rnacentral:misc_RNA from 1 species
UCCGGUUUGUCACCGGCAGUCUCAUUAGAGUGCCCUUUCGUAGCAACUAAUGACAAGGGUUGCGCUCGUUGCGGGACUUAACCCAACAUCUCACGACACGAGCUGACGACAGCCAUGCAGCACCUGUGUUCAGGCUCUCUUUCGAGCACCCUCAGAUCUCUCCGAGGUUCCUGACAUGUCAAGGGUAGGUAAGGUUUUUCGCGUUGCAUCGAAUUAAUCCACAUCAUCCACCGCUUGUGCGGGUCCCCGUCAAUUCCUUUGAGUUUUAAUCUUGCGACCGUACUCCCCAGGCGGUCUACUUCACGCGUUAGCUGCGUUACCAAGUUAAUUAAAACCCGACAACUAGUAGACAUCGUUUAGGGCGUGGACUAC